AGUGAACGCUGGCGGUAGGCCUAACACAUGCAAGUCGAACGGCAGCACAGUAAUAGCUUGCUCUUACGGGUGGCGAGUGGCGGACGGGUGCGGAAUACAUCGGAAUCUACUUUUUCGUGGGGGAUAACGUAGGGAAACUUACGCUAAUACCGCAUACGACCUACGGGUGAAAGCAGGGGACCUUCGGACCUUGCGCGAUUGAAUGAGCCGAUGUCGGAUUAGCUAGUUGGCGGGGUAAAGGCCCACCAAGGCGACGAUCCGUAGCUGGUCUGAGAGGAUGAUCAGCCACACUGGAACUGAGACACGGUCCAGACUCCUACGGGAGGCAGCAGUGGGGAAUAUUGGACAAUGGGCGCAAGCCUGAUCCAGCCAUACCGCGUGGGUGAAGAAGGCCUUCGGGUUGUAAAGCCCUUUUGUUGGGAAAGAAAAGCAGCAGGUUAAUACCCCGCUGUUCUGACGGUACCCAAAGAAUAAGCACCGGCUAACUUCGUG
rnacentral:rRNA from 1 species